rnacentral:rRNA from 1 species
AUGGAAUUUCAUCUGCAAGCUUUUGAUCCUAAUGGCUACAUCCUUAUAAAGCUAUUUCUUGUUUGUAAGAUGAAUAUUGUCUAUGUCAAGACUCAAGACUCAAGAGAAGCAAGAGUGCAUAGGAGUGGCAGUUGUUCAACCAAGGAUGGUCAGAGGGUAUUACAAGGAGCGAGAGAGAUACAUGGAAGGAGAGAUUACGUAGCAAGGCACAGGGCACACAGGACGCAAAGUGUCACAUAUGGGCUACCGGGCGAAAACAGUCGACCCAAGCAAGGCCCUCGUGGCAGUGGUCAGCACGUUUAG